UCGCAUGAAGAUGACCGCACUGAUUGUUAAUGGCGUUGAUAAACUGCGCGUCGGUCGACAUCGGAAGCAUCGUGCAAGGUGCUCUGCGAUCUUUAUGUCAAGGUGCUGAUUACUGUCGUACUCACCAAUGUACCAGCAAUCUGUUGUAAGACCGCGAGUUUCGUGAGAGUCCGUUCGACCGAAGCUCGUCGUGCGAGGCGUCAGUGAUCCGUCGGCCGUCGGUCGAUCGCAUUUUUCGAUCCGCGAGGUUUGUUCUUAGUGUUAUUUCGUAAGUUAAUCAGCACCCGCAGACAUAAUCGUCCAGAGACGCGUGUGUUGUGUGUCAGCACUAGUCAAAAGGUUAUGAUACGCCGCGCCGGCCGCGCGGCGCGGCGUGAAGGUGCCCGCGCAAUUUCCUGGUGCUUGAGAUUGAAAAAACAAAACGCGCGAGCAUUCCUCAACUCCCACCCCGCUUCCUUCUUACGCCAACCCGAGUGUCGUCGUGUUGUUUACAAUCGAUUGUUUUGGUCGCGCGCUCUGCUCCGCAUGUACGCACAUUCUGAAGUCUUCCUCACGUAAGGUAAAUAGCGUAAACACGCCCGCUCAAAGAAUCCUGAUUAUUUACUCUGUCAAGAAACGCGAUAAUACUCCUUCGACUAACAAGAUGUUCGUAGAUUAGAUUUUUUAGUAAUUGUGCGAUUUUUAUGCACUUCGAUUUUUAUGUACUUAUCGAUGCGGAGCGUGCGACUAAUCGAUUUUGUUAUUAAGCAGCAGUUAGUAGAAGUGGGUGGUACUCGACAGUCGCCCCGACUACCCGGCACGAUCGCGUUUGAUGUCCGUUAUUGAUCGCGGAUCGAGAAGGUAAUUCGUCGAUAGGAGGCUCGUGUGGCCCCAAGAACGGUCCCAAGGAUCUUCCCAAGGAUCCUCCGAUGCCGUGGAAGCGGCUGCGGACGGUAGUCUGUCCUCGCGAAACGAGACUGAUAUCGGCGGAGUGUCGCAUUUCGGUAAUUGCGUCGCGAGCGUCGGCGUCGCGUCGUGUGUGAGAGAGACGUGUUUCGACGGGUAAAGGACGGAGAGAACGCGUGUCGAAGGUGCGAACAGUUCGUAUCGAAAGCACGAAAGGUGAGAGGUAGUGAAAAGUACUUAGAAGUGCCUCUACGGAGUAACGACUUUGCGAAAAUUUCGAGGUGCCUACGUCACGCGCGGCGAAUAGUAAUGGCGGCGGGGGUGGGGGGGGAGGCGAUAUUUUCCCGCCCGAUUGCCAAAGAGCUUCCGAUGCCGUGGAAGUGAUUGCGGACGGCGCUCGCGUCCUAGUGAAACGAAUCGGGCGUCGCGGACGGUGAUCAUCGCGUCCUGGUGAAACAAAACGGGCGUGGGGCGUGGGCGUCGAUUGCAGAGUAUCGUAUUUUCACGGAAAGUGUUGUGUGUGCGAGAUGAAGGAGACGUGCUUCGAUGGGCAAAGAACGCAUGUCGAACGUGUAUCACGAAGAGUGCGUAUCGAAAGUACGAAAGAUGAGAGAGAUAGUGUGAGGUGAAGAGUACUUGGAAGUGUUUCUAACGAAGUAACGACUUCGCGAAAAUUCCGAGGUGUCAACGUGCGGAGAGCAGUAAUGGGAGCGGCCGAGAGGAGCAACAUAUUUUUUUCCAAUUUCCAAACGUGGUCGUCGAAAUGUCUAGAACAUCCAUCCACAGUAUAAACGGACCAAGCCUGCGGCACGAGUCUUCGUCAUCGACUAAAGUUCGCGUUUCUUCCUUCCUGGCGCCAUGUAGCACGGUUUUAUCGCGGUGGUGUGUCGUGUAAAAAGUCGCGCGAUCGUAUUUCCGUUUCGUGUUUUUGCGAGUGAGUGUUGUGCAACGAUGAAAACUUGGAGGAGGAGCAGAAGCGAGAACAGACACCUUGGAGGUGUCGUACGACGGUGGAGAACAACCGUGGCGGAUGCACAAGAUGGAUUGGGCGGGUCGCGCAGAACACAGGCCUGAUUGUCUGUCCAUCGCAAACGGGGCACAGGCAGCACACGUAACAGGCACGCCGAACGUGUACCGGAUGGAUCGCUCCGUGUUCCAAGUAUUACAAGAGCGAUCUCCUGCGUGUCAAGACUGCCGAUGCGGUAAGAGGCCGUGCGCGGGACGCACGGCCUGUUCCUCGUGUGCCACCUUCGUCAGGAACGUCAGGGUGUGGCGCCAAAGUCCGGAGAACGACCUUAGAUACGACCUCGUCGUCUAAGACGGACAAAAGCCGCGCCAAUCGCAUUUCCAAUUUCGGCAGCCGAACAAGUAUCUGCGCGGGAGGUUGUAAAAGUCUGCAUUCCAUUUCUGUUAUAUAUCAUUUUAUAUAAUAUUCUUCAUAACACAUAUUUUUCUAUCUUUGAUACUGAAUUGAUCACACCGUAACUGAAAAUUAUUAUCUCAUCACCGAUAGCAAUAUAAAAAAUAUUCCAUUUUUUGAAUAAAAAAUCUUCGGAUAAAAUAAAUUUCUUUAAAUAAUCUUUCCUAAUCUGCAAUAUUCAUUUUAGGGAUGUGCUGGAUAUCAUUAACGUAAGAAUUUAUCAUUAACAUGACUAAGUAAAAAAUAAAAUUAUUAUGAUGAGGGCUCUAAUGAAAAAAGCGUAAUUUCGCCUGCAGUUAGCUAAGUUCCUCUCAAUGCAAUACCAUUUUCGAAAGAUUGAUUGUUCCGCAGCCGCAACGUUCGACACCAUCUUUCAAACUUCCAAUAAUUAUUACGUAUAUUUUUUU